rnacentral:rRNA from 1 species
AUCAACUUUCGAUGGUAGGAUAGAGGCCUACCAUGGUGGUAACGGGUAACGGGGUGUUAGGGCACGACACCGGAGAGGGAGCCUGAGAAACGGCUACCACAUCCAAGGAUGGCAGCAGGCGCGCAAAUUACCCAAUCCCGACACGGGGAGGUAGUGACAAUAAAUAACAAUACGGGGUUCUUUCGGAUCUCGUAAUUGGAAUGAGUACAAUUUAAAUCUCUUAACGAGGAACAAUUGGAGGGCAAGUCUGGUGCCAGCAGCCGCGGUAAUUCCAGCUCCAAUAGCGUAUAUUAAAGUUGUUGCAGUUAAAAAGCUCGUAGUUGAAUUUCGGGGUUAGUAGGUUGGUCAUGCCUCUGGUAUGUACUGGUCUCACUGAUUCCUCCUUCCUGAUGAACCGUAAUGCCAUUAAUUUGGUGUUGCGGGGAAUUUGGACUGUUACUUUGAAAAAAUUAGAGUGUUUAAAGCAAGCUAACGCUUGAAUACAUUAGCAUGGAAUAAUGAAAUAGGACGUUCGAUCCUAUUUUGUUGGUUUCUAGGAUUGACGUAAUGAUUAAUAGGGAUAGUUGGGGGCAUUAGUACUCAAUUGUCAGAGGUGAAAUUCUUGGAUUUAUUGAAGACUAACUACUGCGAAAGCAUUUGCCAAGGAUGUUUUCAUUAAUCAAGAACGAAAGUUAGGGGAUCGAAGACGAUCAGAUACCGUCGUAGUCUUAACCAUAAACUAUGCCGACUAGGGAUCGGAUGAUGUUAAUUUUUUAAUGACUCAUUCGGCGCCUUACGGGAAACCAAAGUGUUUGGGUUC